CGUCAUGCGCGGGCGCGGCCAGAGGAUGGUGCCGCUGCGGAACAGCCUGGGCGCGCGCACGUCACGUCUCCCGCGCCCGCGCAUGACGCGAGUCCCCAAUCCCCAUUCUGUGUGUGGGUGGAACUGUUUGCUGCAGAAAUCGUGUAUCCCUCAUUAUAUCCCUAUUAUUUCUGUGUAUAGUGAUAAUAACGCUGCAUGUGCUUAGUAAUGGUCUCAUUAAGCAACCAGGUCUGCGCCGGAAGUCACUGUCACAGCAACACCGGGACCCGAAAGAAGAUACUGGAGCCACUGUUACUGCUGGGAGCAGAGUGGCCCACUCAAAAUCGGGAUAUAAUGACAGGGAUGACAUCAGGUGAGGGC